CUGCGGUGCCUCAUCUCCUUUCCAUGCCCUGCCUCUUCAUCCCUGCGGUACCUCUUCUCCCUUCCAUGCCCUGCAUAAUCCCAAUCAUCAUGACCUUUACUUCUUUGCUCUUCUUCCUCCCCUCUUGCAUGCUUUCGACUUCUGUACUGCUUAUCAUCAUCAUCCUUUCUACGCCUUUGAUAUUCAUCAUCCUCUUCAUCUCUUUGGUACCUUCCACUUCUACGAACCACUUCGUCCCUGGUGUGCCUUUUCUCCCCUCCAAGAUCUUCAUUAUCCCUAUCAUUUCUCCUACUUUCAUGUUUUAGUUCAUCAUCCUUACUCUGAAUUCUGCUGCUUUUCCUGUGUGUAUCCUCACUCUUCCAACGAUCCUCCAAAUUAGUAUCAUCUUUUUCUGUUCCACUUCCAUUCCAACGAUUUCUAAGCUUGCCAA
rnacentral:misc_RNA from 1 species